rnacentral:rRNA from 1 species
AACGUAGGGUGCAAGCGUUAAUCGGAAUUCCUGGGCGUAAAGCGCGCGCAGGCGGUUAUGUAAGACAGAGGUGAAAUCCCCGGGCUCAACCUGGGAACUGCCUUUGUGACUGCAUAGCUGGAGUGCGGCAGAGGGGGAUGGAAUUCCGCGUGUAGCAGUGAAAUGCGUAGAUAUGCGGAGGAACACCGAUGGCGAAGGCAAUCCCCUGGGCCUGCACUGACGCUCAUGCACGAAAGAGUGGGGAGCAAACAGG